GGUCCCGUAGCUCAGUUGGAUAGAGCGCAAGAUUCCUAAUCUUGAGGCCAGAGGUUCAAAUCCUCUCGGGAUCACCA
rnacentral:tRNA from 1 species